UACGUAGGUGGCAAGCGUUGUCCGGAUUUACUGGGCGUAAAGAGCGCGCAGGCGGUCGUUCAAGUCGCGUGUGAAAGCCCCCGGCUCAACUGGGGAGGGUCACGCGAUACUGAUCGACUCGAAGGCAGGAGAGGGUAGUGGAAUUCCCGGUGUAGUGGUGAAAUUCGUAGAUAUCGAGAGGAACACCGGUGGCGAAGGCGGCCUUCUGGACAGUAACUGACGCUGAGACGCGAAAGCGUGGGGAGCAAACAGG
rnacentral:rRNA from 1 species